AGCAGAGCCACAUUCUCAGUACAUAAUGAGAUAACCUGAAAUAGGAAAACCCCAGGCAACUUGUUCAGGGUGGUGAAGUCCAGAGAGCUUCUUAAGAUGACUACAUAGGAUGAGAAGAACUAUUGACUAUUUACAGAGCUAUGCAAGACCACUUGUUGAGGAUUCAGAUGGGAGUUGUGGACAAAGAGCUUCAACAUGGAAGGAGGACAAUCUUAGCUGCUCUUGGUGGGAGAGAUGGUGCUGUCUGAUCUUUCAUUUGAAGAAUGUACAGUGGAAACAAAAUAAAUGCUUACUUGGCCAUAAUUUCUCAGUUGUGAGAACUGACCAGAUGAGGAGAGAAACAGAUGAGGAAGGAAGCUGUGGCCACAAGCGGGAAGAGUCAGCCUUCUCGUGCACGGCGCAUCUGCCACAGGCCAGCUAGCAGGACAGAGAAAGCAAGACCAGGAGGACAACAGCACUGUCAUUUCCAAGAUGUGGACACUGCCUCCAGCAAUUGAAGAGCAGCAGCAGGGCCGGUUUCAGCGGAUCACUGCAUUUGGAGGUACAUUUUGAUAGAAUAACCCAAGUCAAACCUUUUCAAAUCUACCACCCUCCUUCUAUUUUUUCCUCUUGCAACUUUUCUUCUUUUUUGCUUUUUUAACUUUAGGCUGGAUUUAAAAAUAGGUUGGUUGUAUCAGAAUAUUAAAAAAUAUGUAGCUUGCUUUCUAAAUAAUAGAAAUGAAAUGUGAUCUAGAUUUCGACAGUCCUCCAUCUUUG
rnacentral:lncRNA from 1 species